GCGUGACGGGAGAUGGAGUUCGGAGCCCUCCUCCCGCCCCUCCCUGUUCCCUAGGCCGUCACCCCUGUGGCGACACACACCGACAGGUCCAGAGUGACAACCUGCAGGGACACUCGAUCACCAAGGUGAAUGCCACCACCACUGACUUGUGCUACCUGAAUGAGUAAAUGACAGGAGAGGAUUCUUUUUUGAUCCCCUCAUUCUCACAAAGAGAGAUGAGAAGUAGAACCUAUCUCUUCCAGAAGUCCAAAGCUCCACAGUUUCAUCACAUGGGUGGAUAAGGCUCUCCUGUUUUCACCCUUGAGGCACCUCUGACACCCUGACAAUGUGACUUCUCCAAACGCAGGCUCCUGAGGAGAGAGCCCGUGUGCUGCCAUCCUUCCUCUGGAAUGGUGUCAUGUAACACUCACUCGACCUAAUCAGCCACCUACUUAAUUAUCCAUGGAUCUCAGCUCAGUAGCCCAUUCCCCGCUAUCCUAGUUGGCUGGGAAGGUUGUCCAGGUGACCUGUGCCCACACAGCCUCCUGGUUAAACACACAUGAUGGGAGGCCAAUCAGCCAGGAAUGAUGAACUGGAAGAUACAUUUGUAUCUGUAUCUGUAUACAGGAUGCAUUUGUUGACCAGAAUAUGAUCUUUCCAAAUCCACACAAACAUGCUGCAAGGUAUGAGCCGACAUUGAAACACCUAUCAAAACCAAACAUCAGCUCUCCAAAGCAGUGCCUUGUUCCUAGUUUUUAAAACAUAUUAGGCAUGUUUUCCUUUCAAAUUAACUAGUUUUGUCUUUUCUUCCUAAAGCUUUAUCUGCUGGCCACUGCCCAAAGACCUAGAUAGAACUGGCGAUAGCAACACAAACUCUGAGGGAAAGCCUGUGAUAAAACCUCAAAGUCUGCAAUCAAACAGUAUCUUUUAUUUAACAUCUUCUAUUAAAAAAAAAAAAAGUUUGAAAGACACUGAUUUGGCCUGCAAAAACCAGGAAAAGACCAAACAAAAUACAGUUUAUACUCUUGCCUGUUACAGAAUAACAAGGGCAGAGGAAGGUUAAAAUUUAGUCCUCUUGAGAGACAACUUCAAAUGGGUUUGCACAAAGGUUUCACCUGUGAAGACUAAACAUCUCUGCAAGCAGCACUUCACUCUUCCAAAUAGAUUAAGGAGGAACACUGCUAUUUUGGCUGUGCUUCCUGCAUGGUAAUAGUUUGUAACAGAAUUGCCCUGGAAAAAGGAAUCAUUUCUUUUUGGGAUGAGAGGGCAGCAGCUGAGAGAGGAGAAGGAAGGGACGUGCCAUUAAAGCAUACUUAACACAUUUUGAUACUGACUGCAGUGCAGAGAGGAGAUCACAGCCAUUUCUCUUCUGACAUUGCAUUGUGCAUAAGAAUUGAUUGUUAACUUGGUGCUUUCUGUUUUCCAUUUUUCCUCUGCCUGCUGACAGUGGCAGAAGAAUUAUGUCAGAGAGUUAUGUGUCAGAAUGAACAGAUUUAUCUCUUCCAGAUUUAUCAGUGCCAGUCAAAGAGGAAUAGCUAAGGGCAGGCUACUGAGAUGAGACUGCUGGAAAACUCAGAUCCAGUACCCUGGAGGGGAGAUUCAAUGAAAAUCUCAGUCUCUGAAAGAGAUAAUGAGAAAAGACCCUCCCUCAAUCUGCCAUGUAAUUUGGCAGCCUGGUGCCACAUGUGAGAGUACAAGAACAUCAGGUAGCACUGGACAUUUACAGCUCUGGAUUUAGAGGACUAAUGGGUGGAAUAGGGGGAGACAGCACAGUUGUCACGGGUUUCCAAAUUAUUUCCCCUGUACAGCCCUUUAUCAGAAUUGAAGAACAUCACUGCAGUCAUUCCCGUUGGCUUCUUGUGUCUUCAGUUUCAGCCCACUAAAAGAAUGGUUGUCAAAAAUAAAAGUACCUGUCUGUUAGAGA